UCGUAUGAUGACUUUCCCGAUAGGGACAUCUGAUGCAAAUUGCAUAUGAUGUUACCAGGACAAGAGAUUUUAGUAGAUGCUUCUUGACUAUCUGAAA
rnacentral:snoRNA from 21 species